rnacentral:rRNA from 1 species
UACGUAGGGGGCGAGCGUUGUCCGGAUUCAUUGGGCGUAAAGAGCUCGUAGGCGGCUUGGUAAGUCGGGUGUGAAACCUUCAGGCUCAACCUGGAGACGCCACUCGAUACUGCCAUGGCUAGAGUCCGGUAGGGGCCCACGGAAUUCCUGGUGUAGCGGUGAAAUGCGCAGAUAUCAGGAGGAACACCGGUGGCGAAGGCGGUGGGCUGGGCCGGUACUGACGCUGAGGAGCGAAAGCGUGGGGA